GCCUUCGUUGUAUAGUGGUCAGCACGCUCGACACGUAACCAAGAAGCCCGUGGUUCGAUUCUCGGCGAAGGUG
rnacentral:tRNA from 1 species